rnacentral:misc_RNA from 1 species
AAGUCGUAACAAGGUUUCCGUAGGUGAACCUGCGGAAGGAUCAUUACCAAUUCGACCUUGGGUUUGGAAAAUGGCGUCGCGAGAUGCUUUUUCUGAAUUCCAUCCAACCAACCUUUGAUUGUGAACAAGGAUUCAAAAAAGUCUUCCUGUGUUUGUUCACGGGGAGCAAUUUUAUCCAACCCCACUUAAAUCCGCACCGCGCGUGUGGAAAAAGCAAGCGUUGAGCUCCGAAACUGAAAAACACAAAAAUGUCAUGUACAACUUUUAACGGCGGAUCUCUUGGCUCGU